rnacentral:rRNA from 1 species
GACGAACGCUGGCGGCGUGCUUAACACAUGCAAGUCGAACGGAAAGGCCCUGCUUUUGUGGGGUGCUCGAGUGGCGAACGGGUGAGUAACACGUGAGUAACCUGCCCUUGACUUUGGGAUAACUUCAGGAAACUGGGGCUAAUACCGGAUAGGAGCUCCUGCUGCAUGGUGGGGGUUGGAAAGUUUCGGCGGUUGGGGAUGGACUCGCGGCUUAUCAGCUUGUUGGUGGGGUAGUGGCUUACCAAGGCUUUGACGGGUAGCCGGCCUGAGAGGGUGACCGGCAACAUUGGGACAGAGAUACGGCCGGGACUCCGCCGGGAGGAAGCAGUGGGGAAUAUUGCACAAUGGGCGGAAGCCUGAUGCAGCAACGCCGCGUGCGGGAUGACGGCCUUCGGGUUGUAAACCGCUUUCGCCUGUGACGAAGCGUGAGUGACGGUAAUGGGUAAAGAAGCACCGGCUAACUACGUG